rnacentral:misc_RNA from 1 species
UUUCCGUAGGUGAACCUGCGGAAGGAUCAUUCAUAAUAAGUGUUUUAUGGCACUUUUUUAAAUCCAUAUCCACCUUGUGUGCAAUGUCAGGGUUGAUUUUUCUCUCGAGAGGAUCAACCCCAAACAUCAACUAUAUCUCAACUCUUAGUCUGAAAAAUAUUAUGAAUAAAACAAUUCAAAAUACAACUUUCAACAACGGAUCUCUUGGCUCUC